ACAUGAUGGGUCGCGAUGACAUUCCAGUUGGUCUAGGAGAGGUGUUUGCAAUGAACCAGUCUGAUCCUGUUUUCCCUGCGGUUGGAGACUGCAAGUACCUCAAGGCCAUCCCUCACGGGAGUGGUGGACUUUUAGACUCGGACACUCUCUAUGGCCUUGCUCGUGAUUUACCGCGAAGCCCUAGAAGGUAUAAUUUCCCUCCAUAGAUGUUUAUGCCUUUUCUUUCCUCUUAUUUGAACCGUGAUCUUGCUUUAUUCGGGACUCAAAUAUCGACGGCUUAUUUUUCUUCUCAAGGUAUACUGCAGAAAACUCUGUAAAAUAUAGAGCUCCUCGCGACACAGAUCACCCUGAGCUCAGGCAGCCUCUAGCACUGGAAAUCUGGGAUUCCAUUGUAGGAACAUUGGAUCCAGGAUCCAAGAUUACCAUAUUGACCAACGGCCCCUUGACUAGUUUAGCCAAGAUAAUACAGAAUGAGAAUAAUACAAGCUCUGUGAUUCAGGUAAGUGGACUUUAUCUGCUAUUGUCAAAGUAACUUGCAACUAAUGUCGUGCCACGCAGUGGUGGUACACAUGCUCAUGAUGUUUCAAAUGUCAUUGCAGGAUGUUUAUGUUGUUGGAGGACAUAUCAGCCAUAGUGAUACAGACAAAGGAAAUGUUUUGACUAUUGAUAGUAAUGAGUAUACAGAACUAAAUAUGUUUCUUGAUCCCCUGGCUGCUAAGACAGUUUUCGAGUCAUCACUUGACAUUACGCUCAUUCCACUUGGCGUCCAACGUAGAGUCAGUUCCUUUCCUAAGAUCCUAAGAAGUUUAAGCAGCAAGACGAAAAGAACACCUGAGGAAUUGUUUGUACGGCGUUUGCUAUCAAGGCUUUACCGCCUGAAAGAAACUCAUCACAGAUAUCAUCACAUGGUAAGGAUCAUUUCAUAGACUUUCUGAAUAUUGAAGAGCUUAAAUUUGUUUGCUAAGAGACUAUAGUUGUAUCCGGGGAGCAUGCUUGAUCCUUCUCCAAGGGAGAGAGUCUUUUAGCUGCCACUACUGAAUGAGCUUGCUCUGCAGGAUACAUUCUUGGGCGAAAUCCUUGGUGCAGUAGUCUUAGCUGGGGAUCAUUCCAAGCUUGAGCCAAUCUGGCUAGCCAAACCUGUCAUGAUCCUUGCUGAAGGUGAUGAAUCGAAAGAUGGACAAGUUGUGAUCGAUGAAAAACAAGGAAAAUUUGUCAAGAUAUUGGAGAAUGUAGAGCCUGAGGCACAUUAUGAUCUUUUCGCAAAGCAACUCACCGUUAAGAAGCAAUCUGCUGUCGUUGGAAGCUUUGGUGAACAGAGAAGAAUUUGGGGUGUGCCACCAAAUUGAAUCAGAGGGGUAUUCCUUACUGAUACAUUGGUCUGAACAUUAUACCCUGACAGCAGUAAAUGAUUUUUUAUUUUUAUUACUGUUAUUAGUGGAGGAUUUCACUGGAUCAAUCAUAUUUCUUGCAAAAAUAAUUCUUUCUGUUUUGUACUUAGCACAUUGAAAGAGAAACAAAAAAAGGUAGCUUAUAUAGUAAAAAAUUGAAGGAAUACAUUGAAAAAUCGGGCGAGUGUCUGUGUUUUACUUAACAAAAUUCUAGCUUAUGUAGUAAAACAUUCUCGGAGCAUAAAAGUAUUUUCUAUGUUAUUAGAAUUAUAAAACCUGUGUAUUCGCAGUUGGAAACUAUGUGUUUUAAUUUUAAAAUCAAGAAUUUGAUGAAUGUCUUUGAAAUAUAUAUAUAUAUAUAUAUAUAGUUGGUAAUUAAGUUUUGAAAUGUUAUUUCUAUUUCAUGUUACAUUUUAUUCAAACAAAAUCAAGUCUAUCAUAUCCAAAGAGAAAUGCUACUGCUCUACUGAAAAAACAUAAUUACCUGAAUUUACUUCCAUAAUUGUUUAUUUUUUUUGUUUUGGCAAAAUGAAUUAUUAAAAUUUAAACCAUGUCUAAUUAAAAUUAAAUAUUUUUUCUAUAAAAUUAAACUAGAGAAUACCUAACACGAAUUAACAAUAAUAAUUGCUUUGAAUUAUUUGUUGGGGUUUGAUCAGAUUAUUUGUGAAAUAAUCCUUGGGAUUGUUUUUGAAAUAAAUUUAGUAUCGGUUGACUAACGCAAGACAAUCCAAGAUAUCUCUUACCAUAAAUGAAGGAGAGAAAAAUAGCACUAAAUAUGGCGGAGAAAAUGAAUGCACGCAUCUUUGAAAAAGGAAGGUGCGUGCAUGGUAGGAAGAUGUAUAAUUACAUAAAUUCUUUAGUACAAAAUCAGAUAUCUGUAGCCAUCAUAAUUAAUGAAAAAUCUAUCAAAACUCCUGUAUAUAGCGAUCUAGUCUCCCGUCUCUUGUUUGUUUUUCAAAGAAUGGGACUUGGUCGGUAAAGCAUAUCCUGAAUCGGAGGAGAGAAAAUGCUGCAGCAGAAGAAUCUCUGGGUGCUCUUAGCAUUGAUUAAUACUAUAGGACUUGUUGGAUUUAAUCAUCUGUGCCAUGCAGAGGGAAAGGCACACCGUAUUCUCCUGGACACAGAUGUCGAUACUGAUGACGUCUUAGCUCUUUUCUACCUCUUGAAGCUCAACAGAUCACGAUUUGGAUUGGAGGUCAGUCUGUCAAUUGAUCAAGCAUGUGUUUAACAAAUUACAUCAAUCGAGUCUGCUUUGAUCACCGGUCUGCUCUCUGCUUGCUCCAGGCAGUCACCGUGAACACGAACUCAUGGACCGAUGCAGGGCAUGGUGCGAGCCAAAUCUAUGACAUUCUUUACAUGAUGGGCCGCGACGAGGUGGCUGUUGGGAUGGGAGGUGAGGGUGGAAUAGCAGAAGAUGGCCACAUAUUCCCAGAUGUUGGUGGUUUUCUUCCUAUAGUUGAACAGGUCGGUCUUCAACUGUGCCCCCCUCAUGAUCUUCUGCUAGAUUUCACUGCAAUUUUUACUGUUCUUUCCUUGUCUGUGAAUUUAUGGACUCGAUGAUACCUGAGAUUGUAUGAUAUUAAUCAGGGGAAGACAACAGCAGGAGGCUGUAGAUACAGACAAGCUAUUCCUGUUGGUCCUAGAGGACGGCUGGAUCUUGAUACUAACUACGGCUUCCGGCGAGCAUUCCUGCCGCAGGUACAGACUUAGUUAGAGCUCGUUUGGAAUCCCAGCAUGCUGCGGCGAGAAAAUUAUGUAUCCUAAUCUCAAAUAAACAUUAGCCUUGUUUGCUUCUGGUUUAGACAUGGGAUUUUGUUUUCCUAUAUACUAUACUGAUGGAAAUAAUUGAAUGAAAUAAAUAAACAAAUCAUUUUUAGCUGCCUUUUGAAAAUCAGAAUCAAUAUUUAGUAACUUUAAUGAUAUUGAGUUUUAUGAUAUUAUUAAAUUUAAUUUCUUAGUUCAUAUAUGACUUGUUUAUUUAUGGGGCUAAUCAAAUAAAAUUUAAUUAAUAAAACAAAACAAGUUGAUUAUUUUAUUUAUGAAUAUAGUUGAAAUAUUUCUUAAAUAAACUAGUUAGUUUUUAAAAUGGACAAAAGAAUUAGUUCUUUUUUUUUAUAAAAUUUUGUUGAUAAAUUAACCAGGGCAGCAGGAAAUAUUCUCCUCUUGAACAGCCAACCGCCCAACAAGUGCUGACAGAAAAGAUAUCUGCAGGUCCUAUCACUGUUUUAAUUACAGGAGCUCAUACAAAUAUUGGCGUUUUUCUUAUGAACAAUCCACACCUGAAGAACAAUAUUGAACAUAUAUACGUGAUGGGUGGGGCCGUGAGGUCAGACGGCAAUCUGUUUGCAGACCUCUAUAGUAAUCCUUUUGCUGAAUUUAAUAUAUUUGCAGAUCCUUUUGCUGCAUACCAGGUAUUUCAUUAAUUAAUAAGCAAAAAUAAAUAUAUAUAUUAGCUAGGUAAUAUUAAGAAUUGUUGCCUGUGAUUAUUAAUGGAGAGUACGCAAAUUUGCUUCUAGGUUUUACAUUCUGGAAUUCCUCUCACCCUUGUUCCCCUCGAUGCAACCAAUACCAUUCCUACAAAUGAGAAUUUCUUCAAGGCAUUUGAGCAGAACCAGCACACCUACGAGGCACAAUACUGCUUCCGGUCCUUGAAAAUGACUCGAGACACUAGGCCUGACGACAACUUUUACACUGUAAUCCUUCCGUAUCUUCCUUUUCGUUUUGUUCUUCUUCUUCAAGAUUCCUCAGCGGCAAGUGACAGUUUCCUUUUAUACGAUUGUCGAUGGGAUGCGUGUUUCAGUGAGUGACAAGAUUUUUUGCAGAGCCAUUACAUGUGGGACACCUUCGCAGUUGGUGUAGCAGUUUCUGCCAUGCGUAACUCGCAAAACCGAGAUGGAGAAAAUGAAUUUGCUGAGAUGGAGUACAUGAACAUAACAGUAGUGACUUCAAAUGAACCUUUUGGGAUAAGUGAUAGCUCGAAUCCAUUCUUUUACCACCGUGAAGUCCCAAGGUUUAAUCUAACGAAAGGCGGAGUGCACAGUGGUCAUGUGCAGACGGGCCUUCGAGAUCCUCUUUGCUUCGGGGAGAAUGGGAAAGGGCGGUGUGAGGUAAUCUUUCUAGAACCCCUGCAUGCCAAGUUCUGCAGUUCACAGAGAAAGAUGUAUCAUUUCUUUAAGGAUUUACCUUGUAAUUUCCUUUCCGAAAAUGGUAACUGGCCUUCUGAUGCAACAAAAUGGUCGAUAUAGGAUGGCUACACAAAGGAGGUGAGUGGUGCAGAGGCAGUGCGUGUUCUUGUUGCUACGAGAGCGAAGCCUAAUCCUGACAGGAAUAGCACACUUGACAGAGCAUUCUACAAGAGCUUCUUGGAUGUGAGUUCACCAAGGCAUUAAUCUUGUUCUUCUGAAUCUAAAGUUCUUUUUGCUUCUUCCUUAACUCUAGACCAGCAAAAUCUAAUGCAAUGGUAACACAGGUCCUGAAUGACCCUCAACAAUCUGGGAGGUUUAAUUUUACCACUCAAUUUCCUCAUUACAAGGAAGUUCUUUACAGGCCAGACUUUGGAACCAAUGGACUGGGGAAGCCUGUUGUCUUUGAUAUGGAUAUGAGUGUUGGAGAUUUCCUGGCUUUAUUCUAUCUCCUUAAAGUGCCUGUAGAAGAGAUCAACGUCAAGGUAAGCGACUUCAAUUUUCCAACAAGCAUAUACAAUUAGCUCUGCUUGUCAAAACCAAGCAAGUCAAUGUUUAAACCGAUUCAAAUUCAAACCAGCCAAGACCAGUUUCAAGUUGCAGGUUUGUCGAGUUAUCCCGUAGAAUUGUGUUCGAGUUAUCCCGUAGAGUUGUGCUCGGUUUAAUAAUUAUACUUGCGACUACCAACACAUUGGUUCCAGUUGUACAAAACACAACUAUGGUGUCUUUUUCUGUUCUCUUUCCGUCCUCUCGAAAGCAGUGGGUCUAAUGUCAUAUCCUCUUGGUCAGGGAAUCAUUGUAAGUCCAACAGGAUGGGCAAAUGCUGCGACGAUAGACAUUGUUUAUGAUUUUUUGCAUAUGAUGGGCCGUGAUGAUAUUCCAGUUGGUCUAGGAGAUGUAUUUGCAAUGAACCAGUCUGAUCCUGUUUUCUCUUCUGUUGGAGACUGCAAGUACCUCAAGGCCAUCCCUCACGGGAGUGGUGGACUUUUAGACUCGGACACUCUCUAUGGCCUUGCUCGUGAUUUACCGCGAAGCCCUAGAAGGUAUAAUUUCCCUCCAUAGAUGUUUAUGCGUUUUCUUUCCUCUUAUUUGAACCGUGAUCUUGCUUUAUUCGGGACUCAAAUAUCGAGGGCUUAUUUUUCUUCUCAAG
rnacentral:lncRNA from 1 species